UUGCUCGGCUUGUCGAACGAG
rnacentral:snRNA from 1 species